rnacentral:rRNA from 1 species
UGGGGAAUAUUGGACAAUGGGCGAAAGCCUGAUCCAGCCAUGCCGCGUGUGUGAAGAAGGUCUUCGGAUUGUAAAGCACUUUAAGUUGGGAGGAAGGGCAGUUACCUAAUACGUGAUUGUUUUGACGUUACCGACAGAAUAAGCACCGGCUAACUCUGUGCCAGCAGCCGCGGUAAUACAGAGGGUGCAAGCGUUAAUCGGAAUUACUGGGCGUAAAGCGCGCGUAGGUGGUUUGUUAAGUUGGAUGUGAAAUCCCCGGGCUCAACCUGGGAACUGCAUUCAAAACUGACUGACUAGAGUGUGGUAGAGGGUGGUGGAAUUUCCUGUGUAGCGGUGAAAUGCGUAGAUAUAGGAAGGAACACCAGUGGCGAAGGCGACCACCUGGACCAACACUGACACUGAGGUGCGAAAGCGUGGGGAGCAAACAGGAUUAGAUACCCAAGUAGUCCCUGAGCGGGCUGGCAAGGCGCAU